GACGAACGCUGGCGGCGUGCUUAACACAUGCAAGUCGAACGGAAAGGCCCUGCUUUUGUGGGGUGCUCGAGUGGCGAACGGGUGAGUAACACGUGAGUAACCUGCCCUUGACUUUGGGAUAACUUCAGGAAACUGGGGCUAAUACCGGAUAGGAGCUCCUGCUGCAUGGUGGGGGUUGGAAAGUUUCGGCGGUUGGGGAUGGACUCGCGGCUUAUCAGCUUGUUGGUGGGGUAGUGGCUUACCAAGGCUUUGACGGGUAGCCGGCCUGAGAGGGUGACCGGCAACAUGGGGACUGAAAACCGGCCCAAAUCCUCAGGGGAGGCAGAGGGGGGGAAAAUUGCAAAAGGGGGGGAAGCCGGAUGCAGCAACGCCGGGGGGGGGAUGACGGCCUUGGGGUUGUAAACCGCUUUCCCCUGGGACGAAGGGUGGGUGACGGUAAUGGGGAAAGAAGCACCGGCUAACUACGG
rnacentral:rRNA from 1 species